rnacentral:rRNA from 1 species
CCUACGGGAGGCAGCAGUGAGGAAUAUUGGUCAAUGGCCGAGAGGCUGAACCAGCCAAGUCGCGUGCGGGAAGACGGCCCUACGGGUUGUACACUUCUUUUGUCGGGGAGCAAAGAGAGUCACGUGUGACUCGUUGAGAGUACCCGAAGAAAAAGCAUCGGCUAACUCCGUGCCAGCAGCCGCGGUAAUACGGAGGAUGCGAGCGUUAUCCGGAUUUAUUGGGUUUAAAGGGUGCGUAGGCGGAAGGUUAAGUUAGCGGUCAAAUGUCGGGGCUAAACCCUGGCCUGCCGUUGAAACUGGUCUUCUUGAGUGAGCGAGAAGUAGGCGGAAUGCGUGGUGUAGCGGUGAAAUGCAUAGAGAUCACACAGAACUCCGAUUGCGAAGGCAGCAUACCGGCGCUCAACUGACGCUGAGGCACGAAAGCGUGGGGAUCGAACAGGAUUAGAUACCCGUGUAGUC